rnacentral:rRNA from 1 species
GACGAACGCUGGCGGCGUGCUUAACACAUGCAAGUCGAACGGAAAGGCCCUGCUUUUGUGGGGUGCUCGAGUGGCGAACGGGUGAGUAACACGUGAGUAACCUGCCCUUGACUUUGGGAUAACUUCAGGAAACUGGGGCUAAUACCGGAUAGGAGCUCCUGCUGCAUGGUGGGGGUUGGAAAGUUUCGGCGGUUGGGGAUGGACUCGCGGCUUAUCAGCUUGUUGGUGGGGUAGUGGCUUACCAAGGCUUUGACGGGUAGCCGGCCUGAGAGGGUGACCGGCCACAUUGGGAAUGAGAUACGGCCCAGACUCCGACGGGAGGCAGCAGUGGGGAAUAUUGCACAAUGGGCGGAAGCCUGAUGCAGCAACGCCGCGUGCGGGAUGACGGCCUUCGGGUUGUAAACCGCUUUCGCCUGUGACGAAGCGUGAGUGACGGUAAUGGGUAAAGAAGCACCGGCUAACUACGUG